rnacentral:lncRNA from 1 species
GUCCUGGUACAUUUCUAGAAAAAAUGGAGGGGAGCAGAGUCCCCCUGAGCACCUGGGGUUUGAUGCCUCCCUGCCCAGAGCCCUUGCUAUAGCAUAUGCUGGUGAGGGCCGAGGCUCUAGCUCACACUCCAGACCGGGGUAGGGAUCCAAUCUGGCUUUGAAGACAUCAUGCAGAGCCUCUGCUCUGGAGAUGGGAACCUGCAGACAAAUGCCUCCUUAUCUCAAUCCUCUGAAAACAGUUUGACCAGGGAGACAGCGUUCACUCAUGAAUUUAAGAAAAAAAAAAUCCCUGAUCCCUACUUUUUGCCAACUUCAAUGCUGAUUUCUAGUGGUACCAAGAAAAAUGCAACUGAGCCUCCAUCCUCAAGGGGCUCACAGUCUUGUGUGGAGAUAAAAAAUGCAGGCCUGCUGCAGAUCCAAGUCCUGUGACCGGGGUCCUGCCCAAGGGUCCUGCUUCCCUAGGCAUCCCAGAAGUUCAGCCUGCAUCUCGACCAGAGCCUGAGAGUAGACACCUGCCGGUUUAUCUGUCCCUUCAUGUAGCAGGUGACAGAGGUGCCAGGGGCAUGGCAGGGGUACUCUGACACAGCACUGCCCCACGGAGCCCAUGUCCCAGGGCAGAAGACCCACGAUGCACAGCCAGCCAGGUGGCCUCAUCCGAUCAGUCAAAGGCCUCAAUAGAACCAAGACUGACCUCUGCCAAAGAGAGAAUUCUUUCAGCAGACGGCCUUCGGACUUGAGCUAUGACGGCAACUCUUCCCCGGGCCCACCUGACGGACUGGGUUUCUCAGCCUCCACAGUCGUGUGAGCCAAUUCCGUAAGAUAAAUCUCUCUCUCUUCUCUCUCAAUCUCUCUCUCAAUCUCUCUCUCUCUCCAGGAAAGAACUCCAGGGUAGCUGGGAGCUUGGUAUGUUCCAGGACAGCAGGGAGGCCAGAGCCGCUGUCAGUGUGAGAGGGUCGGAGUACAGUGGGGCCCUCCCUGCAUGUGGGGCCUCAUAAGGUGGCAUAGAUGCACGCUUGUUCUGUGUGGACAGGGUUUGGGUGGGGGUGAUGCUUCCUCUGUUCCCUGGGUAGAGACUUGAUGUCUGGUGGCCUGGGGAAGGCAAGGAGGCCAUGUGGAGGCUGCUGCUGUGGUCCGGGUGAGAGGUGACGCCACUGUAGGGCAGCUGGUGGCAUGCAUAAUUCAAAAUAGGCAUAUUGACCAGAUGCAGUGGCUCAUGCCUGUGAUCCCAGCACUUUGGGAGGCCAAGGCAGGAGGAUUGCUUGAGCCCAGGAGUUUGAGACCAGUCUGGGCAACAUGGGGAGACCCUGUCUCUACAAAACAUUAAAAAAAAAUUAGCCAGAAUAGUGGUGUGCACCUGUGGUCCCAGCUACUUGGGAGGCUGAGGUGGGAGGAUCACUUAGGCCCAGGAGUUGGAGGCUGCAGAGUCGUGCUCACACCACUGCAUUCCAGCCUGGGCGACAGAGUGAGACCCCACCUCAAAAAAC